rnacentral:lncRNA from 10 species
CCGCCUCGUGGGUUAGAUCCCAAAUUACGCCCGCUCUCGAUCCUUAAUAAUGGGAAGGGGCUUCCACUUGUCGCCCUCCGCCUCCUGCACCUCAGUGACUUCCCUGACCAAGGAGGAAGAAUUGGCGUGCAGCCUGGGCUUCCCUCAAUGGCCACCAUUCCGCUGGCACAAUGUAGUGCCCUGCCCCGGGCCUCAGUUUCCCCAUCUGUGGAACUGAGUGUGGCCUCGACGUCAAAAAUGUGGACUCUGGUCCGGUCGCGGUGGCUCACGCCUGUAAGUAAUCCCAGCACUUUGGGAGACCAAGGCGGGCCGAUCACUUGAGGUCAGGAGUUCGAGACCAGCUUGGCCAACAUGGUGAAACCCCCGUCCCUACUAAAAAUACAAAAAGUAGCCGGGCGUGGUGGUGUGUGCCUGUAAUCCCAGCUACCCGGGAGGCUGAGGCAGGAGAAUCACUUGAACCCGAGAGGCAGAGGUUGCAGUGAGCCAGAUCGUACCACAGCACUCGAGCCUGGGUGACAGAGCUCAAAAAAAAAGAAAAGAAAAAUGUGGACUCUGUGGUCAUAGAGCCUGAUCUAGAAUCCUGGCUCUGCCACUUACUAGUUGGCAGGCGCUUGGGCAAGUCACUGAGCCUCAGUUUCCUCUUCCAUUAAAUGAGGAUAUUAGUUCUUGCAAAAUAGUGUUGGUGAGAUUUACAAGAGAUAAUAACACCUAUAUCAGGUGCUUAGCAUGGCCAUUGAAAAGUGUCACAUGGGAGUGCUGAUUAUAUGUUAACUGUUAUCUUACCUAGGGAUUGUGAGAAAGCAAGUGAAAUUACUCGUGGAAGUGAAUGGACUGCUUUGAGUCUUCAAGGCGUUAAUUUUCCAAACGUUUGAAUUCUAUCCCUGGUCUGAGAGCUAGGGAUGCAGCCUAGCAAGGGAAACAGGUAACUAAUAUAGAACAGCAGUACCUGCAAAUAUCUGUCUCUGUGAGGAUAGAUCAAAUCCAGGCUUGGUCACUCACCACCCCUGUGAUCUUGGACAACCUCUUAACCUCUCUGGGCUUCAGUUUCAUCUGCUAAGUGGGAAAGCAGUGGUGUGUGGUGAUUAAAAGCUUCAGCUUUGGAGCUGGAUGGUCAACAUGGAAUCCUGGGCCUUAAACUCAGUGUCUCUGAGACAUAGGACAAAGUACAGUCAGCUGUCCAUGUUUACAGGUUCCCCAUCUACGGAUUGAAGCAACUGUGGGUGGUUAAUAUUUGUGGGGGAAAACAGUAAAAAAUAACAGUUCAACAAUAAAAAUAAUACAGAUUCCGAAAGCAAUACAGCAUAGCAAUUACUUAUAUAGCAUUUACAUUGUAUUAAGUAUUGUAAGUAAUUUAAAGAUGAUUUUCAAUAUACUGGAGGAUUUGUGUAGGUUAAAUGCAAGUAUUCUCGCAUUUUGUAAGCACCCAAUGGUUCUCCUUGCCUGCUUCCUAGACAGAACCAAUUUAUCAAGACAGGGGAAUUGCAAUAGAGAAAGUUUAAUUCACACAGAGCUGGCUGAACAGGAGACCACAGUUUUAUUAUUACUCAAAUCAGUCUCCCUGGAAAUUCAGGGUUUUCAAGGAUAAUUUGGUGGCUGGAGGUGCUGGGGAUUAGAGAGUGUUGAUAGGUUGGAUCAGAGAGGAAAGGAGUCAAAGCUGUCCUCUUGCACUGAGUCAGAUCCUGGGUUAGGACCAUAGGACCAGAUUAGCCAGAUUACAGGGCUGGGUGGCGUCAGCUGGUGCAUUAGAACACGGGUUCUGCAAAAUAUCUCAAGCACUGAUUUUAGGUUUUAGAACAGUGAUGUUACUCCCGGAAGCAAUCUGGGGAGGGUCAGAAUCUUGUAGCCUCCAGCUUGCGUGACCUCCUAAACCAUAAUUUCUAAUCUUUUAGCUAAUUUGUUAGUCUACAAAGGCAGACCCGUUCCUAGGCAAGGAGGGGAUUUGUUUUGGGAAAGGGCUAUUAUUGCCUUUGUUUCAAAGUUAAACUAUAAACUAAGUUCUUUCCAACAUUAAUUCCACCUAUGUCCAGGAAUGAUCAAGGACAGCUUGGAAGUUAGAAGCAAGAUGGAGUCAGGCCAGAUCUCUUUCACUAUCAUAAUUUUCUCAGUUAUGCUUUUUACAAAGGUGGUUUUGAUUUUACAUAAGGGACUUGAGCAUCGAGAAUUUUGGUAUCCAUGGGGACUAAGGUACCAAUCCCUCACAGAUACUAAGGGAUGACUGAGCUCAAGUUUUCAGCUUCAGUUUGCUCAUCUAUAAAGCAGGUUUAAUAAUAACACUUUGUUGAUAAUGUUAUUCUGAAGAUUAAAGGAAGAGUAAACGUAAACUACUUAGAAGAGUGUCUCUGGCACAUUGUAAGCCCUCAAUAAGUGUGAACUAACACCACUAAUAAGUUCUUUAUAAACUGCCUAAUAGGUAGUCAAAUAAGAGGGGAAAUAAAGCCCUAAGGAGUAAUAUUUGUGUUUUGUUUGCCCUACAUGGUUUUGUGAAAUUUUCUAUUCAUUAUCAAUAUUUAAAGUUGGGGUUUUCAAUCUUUGACUGGGCAUGAUGGCUCAUUCCUGUAAUUCCAACACUUUGGGAGGCCCAGCUGGGAGGAUGGCUUGAGCUCAGAAGUUUGAGAUCAGCCAUGGCCAACAUGGUGAGGCCCCCAUCUCUACAAAAAAAAUAUAUACGCGCGCGCGCACACACACACACACACACACACACACGCAAAAAUUAGCCAGGCAUGGUGGUGAACACCUGUGGUCCCAGCUACUCAAGAGGCUGAGGUGGGAGGACAGCUUGAGCCAAGGAGGAAGAGGUUGCAGUGAGCUGAGAUUGCAUCACUGCACUCCAGCCUGUGUGACAGAGCCAGACUCUGUCUCAAAAAUAAAUAAAUAAACUUGGGACAUUUCACAUAAAACCCUACUGUAGCUGACUGCUCUGGAAAAGUGGGGAAGUCUGACGACAGUGGGCCAGCCUUCCCCCAUGGCAGCACUUGUUCAGAACUUGGGAGAGACCGUCCCCUUUUGUGAAGCAUGUGCUUCCCUGGUGUGUGGAGAGAUAAAAGAAUAGAAAACGCUGGGAACACCAGCAUUUCAAGAUCAAAGCGUCAAGAAAAAAAGGUAGAAAGAAAAGAAAGAUUCAAGACUGAGGGGGUUGGUCUUUCACUUGAAGACCAUAGAAGUGAUGGAAGACCAGGAAGAAAUGAGAGAAGGUUUGUAUUUUAGAAAAAGAACUUGGGUAUAUCUAUUCUUUUCAAACAUGCUUGGAACAUUUACAGAAAUUGAUUACUGGGCCACAAAGGAAGCUUCAAGAAAUUCUCAAGAAUCUAUAGGUGACAUUCAUGAACCACAUGCUGUGAAAGUGGCAUCAGAGGCACAUAGGAAUACAGACUUUUGAGAAGGAGGGUGUGGUCAGAAUCGUCAAUGCUCUGGAGAGGUCGAGUAAGAUGCGCCACUGAUUUAGAAUUUGAUGGCCAACAAAGGCCAUCUUAAUAGAGAGGGGAGGAAGCCAGAUCGAACUCCAAGAGUGAAGAGUGGAAGUUGAGGAAGUGGAGAGGGAAUGCUGACUGCUCUUUUGGGAAGUAUGGCUUCAGAAGGGAAGACUUGAAGACAUAGGAGCAGAGAUAAUAAUCCAUAAAAUAAAAACAGGCAGCCGGGUGCGGUGGCUCACGUCUGUAAUCCCAGCACUUUGGCAGGCCGAGGCGGGUGGAUCAUGAGGUCAGGAGUUCGAGACCAGCCUGGCCAAUAUGGUAACACCCUGUCUCUACUAAAAAUACAAAAAUUAGCUGGGCAUGGUGGUGCGUGCCUGUAGGCCCAGCUACUUGGGAGGCUGAGGCAGAAGAAUCACUUAAACCCAGGAGGCAGAGGUUGCUGUGAGCUGAGAUCGAGCCACUGUACUCCAGCCUGGGUGACAGAGUGAGAUUCCAUCUCAAAAAAAAAAAAAAAAAGAAUUUGAGACUAGCCUGGCCAACAUAGUGAGACCCCAUCUCUACUAAAAAUACAAAAAAUUAGCCGGGCGUAGUGGCGCACACCUGUAGUCCCAGCUACUCUGGACGCUGAGGCAGGAGAAUGUCUUGAACCCAGGAGGUGGAGGUUGCAGUGAGCCGAGACUGUGCCAGUGCACCCCAGCCUGGGCAACAGAGCAAGACUCUGUCUUAAAAAAAAAAAAAAAAACACCAAAAAAAAAACAGACAAAAAGGGAUGGGGUCAAAGGUGUAUAGCGACAGGAUUACUGUUAACCUAGAGAAGAGAAGAGACACUUCUGAAACAGCAGGAAAAGAGGUGAAAGUGGCUAAAAAAAGCUCACUCCUGAUGUUUUCCGUUUUCUCCGUAAGGUAGCAAACAGUAUCAAUCUUUGGCUGAAGAGGGCCUGGCGUGGUGGCUCACACUUGUAAUCCCAGCACUUUGGGAGGCUGAGGUGGGAGGAUUGCUUGAGAUCAGGAGUUCGAGACCAGCCUGGGCAACACAGCAAGACCUCGUCUCUACAAAAAAAAAAUUAAAAAUUAGCCGAGUGUGGUGGCAUGUGUCUGUAGUCCCAGCUACUUGAGAGGUUGAGGUGGG